AUUCAUGGCCAUAUUGGACUAAAUGCACCUGAUCUUGUCUGACCUUAGAAGCUAAACCGUCCCCAGCCUGGCUAAUAUUUGAAUAGGAGACCACCUGGGAAUCUUAAGUGCGAUAGGCA
ensembl:rRNA 5S_rRNA 5S ribosomal RNA